UCCUUCCGGAGGCAGCAGUGGGGAAAUUUGCACAAAGGCGGGAAGGGUGAUCCAAGGACGCCAUAUUAUAUGAAGAAGGCCUUCGGGUUGUAAAGCUCUUUAAUGUUGUGAAGAAUAGCUACACAGUAAAUUCUCAGUAGUGACGUACUACAUGAAAAGAC
rnacentral:rRNA from 1 species